AUACGGAGGAUGCGAGCGUUAUCCGGAUUUAUUGGGUUUAAAGGGUGCGUAGGUGGUAGAUUAAGCCAGCGGUGAAAGUUUGUCGCUCAACGGUAAAAUUGCCGUUGAUACUGGUUUCCUUGAGCAUAGUUGAAGUAGGCGGAAUGAGUGGUGCAGCGGUGAAAUGCAUAGAUAUGACGAAGAACACCGAUUGUGUAGGCUGCUGACCAGACCGCAAAUGACGCUCAUGCACGAAAGUGCGGGGAUCGAACAGGAUUAGAUACCCUGGUAGUCCGCACAGUAAACGAUGAAUACUUGUUUUCGGCGAUAUAAUGUCGGAGGCAAAGCGAAAGCGAUAAGUAUUCCACCUGGGGAGUACGCCGGCAACGGUGAAACUCAAAUGAAUUGACGGGG
rnacentral:rRNA from 1 species